rnacentral:sRNA from 1 species
AGUGACCGAUCCGACGGCCUGCCCGUUGCCGGGGCAUGGCACCAACCCGAUUGUCAGUGGUUCGCCGAAUGU